AACGAACGCUGGCGGCAGGCCUAACACAUGCAAGUCGAGCGAAGCCUUCGGGCUUAGCGGCGGACGGGUGAGUAACGCGUGGGAACGUGCCCUUUGGUACGGAAUAGCCCCGGGAAACUGGGAGUAAUACCGUAUGUGGUCGAGAGACGAAAGAUUUAUCGCCAAAGGAUCGGCCCGCGUUGGAUUAGGUAGUUGGUGGGGUAAUGGCCUACCAAGCCGACGACCCAUAGCUGGUUUGAGAGGAUGAUCAGCCACACUGGGACUGAGACACGGCCCAGACUCCUACGGGAGGCAGCAGUGGGGAAUCUUAGACAAUGGGGGAAACCCUGAUCUAGCCAUGCUGCGUGAUCGAUGAAGGCCUUAGGGUUGUAAAGAUCUUUCAGUGGGGAAGAUAAUGACUGUACCCACAGAAGAAGCCCCGGCUAACUCCGUGCCAGCCGCCGCGGUAACAC
rnacentral:rRNA from 1 species